rnacentral:rRNA from 1 species
AAAUUGAAGAGUUUGAUCAUGGCUCAGAUUGAACGCUGGCGGCAGGCCUAACACAUGCAAGUCGAACGGUAACAGGAAGCAGCUUGCUGCUUCGCUGACGAGUGGCGGACGGGUGAGUAAUGUCUGGGAAACUGCCUGAUGGAGGGGGAUAACUACUGGAAACGGUAGCUAAUACCGCAUAACGUCGCAAGACCAAAGAGGGGGACCUUCGGGCCUCUUGCCAUCAGAUGUGCCCAGAUGGGAUUAGCUUGUUGGUGGGGUAACGGCUCACCAAGGCGACGAUCCCUAGCUGGUCUGAGAGGAUGACCAGCCACACUGGAACUGAGACACGGUCCAGACUCCUACGGGAGGCAGCAGUGGGGA